GAGGUGUAAAUACCACUGAUUACCGGGUCCGCCCGCAUCCUAGAGAGGUCCCGGAAGUGCCUGGUCAGGUGGUGCUCCGUGGAGAGGACUGUUUCCGGGUUCUACGAGUAUCUGCGUCCCAUUCUUCCGGCGCUCUGCAGUCGGCUUUCUGGGUUCCUCUGAUCGGGGAAGGACGUUGGAGGGGCCCGGAAGCCGAUCGGAAGGAUUUCUGCGGUGGCCGCGGAGCCUCUCCUGUAUUUGGAAAGGAAGACAGCUAAAAUUCCUGUACCCUCUUAUGUAUUUGUGGAUCAGGAGUGAGGACAAGCAGCAGAAGAUUUCUGAGAAACUGAAGUCACAGAGAGUGUUACCCAAAAGACCUCAAGAGAUUGUGCUAAAAUGGAGGAAAGAUGGUGAGAAUGAAAGAGUUGUGGAGAAAUCCCCUCGUUAAGAGAGUGUAUGAACUCACUUGGUAGGAGAAGGUUGCAGAAAAGAACAGACCAAAAUUUCCAAGUUAAACCCUUAAAAGUACCUUCUGUGUGCUAAAAAAA